rnacentral:piRNA from 1 species
CUCAGUGAUGCAAUCUCUGUGUGGUUCUGAGG